rnacentral:rRNA from 1 species
UACGUAGGGUGCGAGCGUUAAUCGGAAUUACUGGGCGUAAAGCGUGCGCAGGCGGCUUUGCAAGACAGAUGUGAAAUCCCCGGGCUCAACCUGGGAACUGCAUUUGUGACUGCAAGGCUAGAGUACGGCAGAGGGGGAUGGAAUUCCGCGUGUAGCAGUGAAAUGCGUAGAUAUGCGGAGGAACACCAAUGGCGAAGGCAAUCCCCUGGGUCUGUACUGACGCUCAUGCACGAAAGCGUGGGGAGCAAACAGG